rnacentral:rRNA from 1 species
UGGGAAACUGCCUGAUGGAGGGGGAUAACUACUGGAAACGGUAGCUAAUACCGCAUAACGUCGCAGGACCAAAGAGGGGGACCUUCGGGCCUCUUGCCAUCGGAUGUGCCCAGAUGGGAUUAGCUAGUUGGUGGGGUAACGGCUCACCUAGGCGACGAUCCCUAGCUGGUCUGAGAGGAUGACCAGCCACACUGGAACUGAGACACGGUCCAGACUCCUACGGGAGGCAGCAGUGGGGAAUAUUGCACAAUGGGCGCAAGCCUGAUGCAGCCAUGCCGCGUGUAUGAAGAAGGCCUUCGGGUUGUAAAGUACUUUCAGCGGGGAGGAAGGGAGUAAAGUUAAUACCUUUGCUCAUUGACGUUACCCGCAGAAUAAGCACCGGCUAACUCCGUGCCAGCAGCCGCGGUAAUACGGAGGGUGCAAGCGUUAAUCGGAAUUACUGGGCGUAAAG